rnacentral:rRNA from 1 species
GUGGGGAAUAUUGGACAAUGGGCGCAAGCCUGGUCCAGCCAUGCCGCGUGAGUGAAGAAGGCCUUAGGGUUGUAAAGCUCUUUUGCCAGGGACGAUAAUGACGGUACCUGGAGAAUAAGCCCCGGCAAACUUCGUGCCAGCAGCCGCGGUAAUACGAAGGGGGCUAGCGUUGUUCGGAUUUACUGGGCGUAAAGCGCACGUAGGCGGGUCGUUAAGUCAGGGGUGAAAUCCCGGAGCUCAACUCCGGAACUGCCUUUGAUACUGGCGACCUUGAGGCUGGAAGAGGUUAGUGGAAUUCCCAGUGUAGAGGUGAAAUUCGUAGAUAUUGGGAAGAACACCAGUGGCGAAGGCGGCUAACUGGUCCAGAUCUGACGCUGAGGUGCGAAAGCGUGGGGAGCAAAC